rnacentral:rRNA from 1 species
CCUACGGGAGGCUGCAGUGGGGAAUAUUGGACAAUGGGGGGAACCCUGAUCCAGCCAUGCCGCGUGUGUGAAGAAGGCCCUCGGGUUGUAAAGCACUUUCAGUGAGGAAGAACGCCUGGUGGUUAAUACCCAUCAGGAAAGACAUCACUCACAGAAGAAGCACCGGCUAACUCCGUGCCAGCAGCCGCGGUAAUACGGAGGGGGCGAGCGUUAAUCGGAAUUACUGGGCGUAAAGCGCGCGUAGGUGGCUUGAUAAGCCGGUUGUGAAAGCCCCGGGCUCAACCUGGGAACGGCAUCCGGAACUGUCAAGCUAGAGUGCAGGAGAGGAAGGUAGAAUUCCCGGUGUAGCGGUGAAAUGCGUAGAGAUCGGGAGGAAUACCAGUGGCGAAGGCGGCCUUCUGGACUGACACUGACACUGAGGUGCGAAAGCGUGGGUAGCAAACAGGAUUAGAUACCCGGGUAGUC